UACAAAACCCUCACCUUUGCAUCAGCACCUUUUCACUAUGUAGAGCAGGGCAGAAUGGGCCUCUAGGGAGAUAGUGGCCUGACAAAGGAAAUAGUUGGUGAGUCUACAAGAUUCUUAUAGGAUACUCUUGAAACUGUGUGUAGUUAAAACAUUUUUACAAAUUUGAGGGCACAUCAGAAUUACACAUUUAUUGUUGGUGGGGGGACAGUGAAAUAAGGAUGGCUAUUUUCCCUGUGGAAAUGAAAGUGAUCACUAAUAGGGGUAUUUUUUUUCCCCAAUAGGUUCUGUUUAUUGCUGAUGAAAUACAGACAGGAUUGGCCAGAACUGGUAGAUGGCUGGCUGUUGAUUAUGAAAAUGUCAGACCUGAUAUAGUCCUCCUUGGAAAGGCCCUUUCUGGGGGCUUAUACCCUGUGUCUGCAGUGCUGUGUGAUGAUGACAUCAUGCUGACCAUUAAGCCAGGGGAGCAUGGGUCCACAUACGGUGGCAAUCCACUAGGCUGCCGAGUGGCCAUCGCAGCCCUUGAGGUUUUAGAAGAAGAAAACCUUGCUGAAAAUGCAGACAAAUUGGGCAUUAUCUUGAGAAAUGAACUCAUGAAGCUACCUUCUGAUGUUGUAACUGCCGUAAGAGGAAAAGGAUUAUUAAACGCUAUUGUCAUUAAAGAAACCAAAGAUUGGGAUGCUUGGAAGGUGUGUCUACGACUUCGAGAUAAUGGACUUCUGGCCAAGCCAACCCAUGGCGACAUUAUCAGGUU
rnacentral:sRNA from 1 species